GGGGUGGUGGCGUAGUUGGGAACGCGUUAGUCUGAAGAUAUAAAAUCUUUAUAAAUCCCUCUGCAAACUAAAGAUCCAUGGUUCGAUUCCGUGUCACCCCA
rfam:Talaromyces stipitatus ATCC 10500 scf_1105507295523 genomic scaffold, whole genome shotgun sequence.